rnacentral:rRNA from 1 species
GUGGGGAAUCUUGGACAAUGGGCGCAAGCCUGAUCCAGCCAUGCCGCGUGAGUGAAGAAGGUCUUCGGAUUGUAAAGCUCUUUUGCCAGGGACGAUAAUGACGGUACCUGGAGAAUAAGCCCCGGCAAACUUCGUGCCAGCAGCCGCGGUAAUACGAAGGGGGCUAGCGUUGUUCGGAAUUACUGGGCGUAAAGCGCACGUAGGCGGGUCGUUAAGUCAGGGGUGAAAUCCCGGAGCUCAACUCCGGAACUGCCUUUGAUACUGGCGAUCUAGAGAUCGGAAGAGGUGAGUGGAAUUCCCAGUGUAGAGGUGAAAUUCGUAGAUAUUGGGAAGAACACCAGUGGCGAAGGCGGCUCACUGGUCCGAUACUGACGCUGAGGUGCGAAAGCGUGGGGAGCAAACAGGAUUAGAAACCCCAGUAGUCC